rnacentral:rRNA from 1 species
UACGUAGGUGGCAAGCGUUGUCCGGAAUUAUUGGGCGUAAAGCGCGCGCAGGCGGUCCUUUAAGUCUGAUGUGAAAGCCCACGGCUCAACCGUGGAGGGUCAUUGGAAACUGGGGGACUUGAGUGCAGAAGAGGAGAGUGGAAUUCCACGUGUAGCGGUGAAAUGCGCAGAUAUCGGGAAGAACACCCGUGGCGAAGGCGGUUCUCUGGGACGGUACUGACGCUGAGACGCGAAAGCGUGGGGAGCGAACAGG